AUGAGUUUGAAUUCUUAUCGUUCGAUCUUGCCACUUCUAAUUUUCUCGGACCAAGCAUAUUUUUGUGAGUCCAAGAAAAUUAACCGCAUGUCCAAAUUCUUCUUCCAACCUUCUCUUCUUUCCUUUUCCUUUCUUUUAGUUCUCUGUUUUUUUAAAAGAGGAGUGAGGAAGAGAGAGCUUAGCCAGCAGGCCUCUCUAGGCCAAUCCAUCCCCGCCGGUCUGUUGGACCUCCUCCCAACCGGGCCUCCCGCGCCGGCCCACCUAACCCUCCUAACCCUAGGCGCUCAACACCUCCACCCCUCUUGUUACCAUCCGCCGCCACCCACACCCACAUGCAUCGAGCCAGGGAGAGCCCUGCUCGAUCCCCUCCUCCCUCGAUGCGCCAUCAGAGAGGGAGAGCAGCGCCGCUCUUACCCGAUCCCCAUCUCUCCCUAUCGACUAGGCCCGUCGCCGCCAUCGCGACUGUCGCGGUCCGACGCCCGCACCUCCUUCCUGCAUCCGCCGCCUAACCUUGCUUGGCCUCCUCCUCUCUGCUCCUCUGCGGGAGUCAUCCCAAGCUCACUGCCCCGUCGCAUCGCCAGGGAUGCCGAGCGCCACCUCGCAACCCCGCCGGCGCCGUGUUCUUCCAGCACCACCACCAUGCUGCCCUCUCCUUCCCCCUGCGCAGGAGCUCGCAGCCACCACCAUGGCGCGUCUUGCUGCUCCCCCAGCGCCCAAUCCUUCCCCUCUGCACUAACUGCCAUGGCACUCCACCGCCCCUUGUAUCAUCCGCCUCCGUCGCCCGACGACCUCCGCCACCAGCAAUGUCGGCGAGCGGGCCGCUGUCGUCCGCCUCGUUGUGCUCCCCUCCACCUCCAGCCACCAACCUCCGUCAUCUCCAUGGUCAAGUUGACACCAGGGCCGACCCCAAGGUCUCCUCUGCUGUCGUCAUCAACUGCAGUUGCAGGUCCGGUAGACCCGUGCCUGCCAUGGCCCUCCUCGCGCUCCUGCUCCCGCUUCGACGGCCUUCCGUGGCUGCAACCACCUUUGCAGCCAAGACCAUCGAACCACGACUUUUCCUCUUGCUCGGCAAGUACCGCACCAAACGCCAAGUAUGAGGACGUCGAGGACCCGUCAAGUUCAUCUACAUGCGUGUACGACUACAUAUUCGGGAUGCGUCUAGUACCUCUACGGAAGACCCGAACGUCUAUGAACUGUGUACGACGACCGUUGCCAAAGACCGUCAAGUGA
rnacentral:rRNA from 1 species